ensembl:lncRNA
CUUGCAAAUAUUGUGUAAUAUUGCACAGGCUAUGAUGACUUUGCUGACUUUUUCAGGCCUCAGCCGCACCUCUCCGUGGAGAACAUGAAAGCGCCUCUUAAAGGUUGUAUAGAUAAGACAAUCUCGUCAGGUGCCGCCGGUUUGAUGAAGGCUGUGAGGAUUAACCUUGGAAGGCGGAGGCUUCUGUGGCACUGUAUUAUAGGAAGGAUGUUGGGGAGGUUAUGGUGAGGACCGGGACGAAUGGAGUGGCAAGAUGGGUCGUCAUUAAGGCCAUAAGGGGCUGUGGUGGACAGCCUAUAAAUCCACCUUUGUUCUGCAGCUCUCCUCUGGCCCAGGGACCAACCGGCGUUGGUCUCAAGACCUGACAAUAAAAAGUUAGUAAUGUGAUGGGAGAUGAAGUGGCUAUAUAGUCUUUUAUUGUCUGUUCCUUUUUGAAUGUGGUAUAUGUGCUGGUAUAGUCUCUGUUUGAUGGUGGCUCCUGUUUCUCCCACAUAGAUGCUCCUGCAUAGUCUGCACUGUAUGGCGUAGACGACGUUGCAGGAGAGUAGCGUGAAGGUCUGCGAGAUGGGGACACUGGCACGAGAGCUGGAAAUGUACUUAAG